rnacentral:rRNA from 1 species
AUUGAACGCUGGCGGCAUGCUUUACACAUGCAAGUCGAACGGUAACAGGCCGCAAGGUGCUGACGAGUGGCGAACGGGUGAGUAAUGCAUCGGAACGUGCCCCGUCGUGGGGGAUAACUACUCGAAAGAGUAGCUAAUACCGCAUACGAUCUAUGGUUGAAAGCGGGGGACCGUAAUGCUUAGCGCGGUUGUAGCGGCCGAUGUCAGAUUAGGUAGUUGGUGGGGUAAAGGCUCACCAAGCCAACGAUCUGUAGCUGGUCUGAGAGGACGACCAGCCACACUGGGACUGAGACACGGCCCAGACUCCUACGGGAGGCAGCAGUGGGGAAUUUUGGACAAUGGGCGCAAGCCUGAUCCAGCAAUGCCGCGUGCAGGAAGAAGGCCUUCGGGUUGUAAACUGCUUUUGUACGGAACGAAACGGCUCUGGUUAAUACCCGGGGCUAAUGACGGUACCGUAAGAAUAAGCACCGGCUAACUACGUG